UCUUGACUAGUAUAUCGGUUAGUACACGCGCUUGUCAUUGUCCACACCUCGUCAGUCAACGCGCGAAAGCUGGGUUCGACUCCCAGGUCGAGAG